CCCGAUAGCUCAGUUGGUAAAGAAUCUGCCUGCAAUGCAGGAGGCCCUGGUUCAAUUCCUGGAUUGGGA
rnacentral:tRNA from 1 species